rnacentral:rRNA from 1 species
GAUGAACGCUGGCGGCGUGCCUAAUACAUGCAAGUCGAGCGAACAGAUAAGGAGCUUGCUCCUUUGACGUUAGCGGCGGACGGGUGAGUAACACGUGGAUAACCUACCUAUAAGACUGGGAUAACUUCGGGAAACCGGAGCUAAUACCGGAUAAUAUUUCGAACCGCAUGGUUCGAUAGUGAAAGAUGGUUUUGCUAUCACUUAUAGAUGGACCCGCGCCGUAUUAGCUAGUUGGUAAGGUAACGGCUUACCAAGGCGACGAUACGUAGCCGACCUGAGAGGGUGAUCGGCCACACUGGAACUGAGACACGGUCCAGACUCCUACGGGAGGCAGCAGUAGGGAAUCUUCCGCAAUGGGCGAAAGCCUGACGGAGCAACGCCGCGUGAGUGAUGAAGGUCUUCGGAUCGUAAAACUCUGUUAUUAGGGAAGAACAUACGUGUAAGUAACUGUGCACGUCUUGACGGUACCUAAUCAGAAAGCCACGGCUAACUACGUG